rnacentral:misc_RNA from 1 species
AGUAGGUGGAAUUUAUUCGCCACCGUCUAUGACUUCCCUGUCGGCUUCUUCUUAGCACUUGACUUCUAGAUAAUCAUGAAGACAUUUCAAAAACGCAAGAGAUACCCUUGUUUUUACACUAGCAGAUCCACCAACCUAUAACGGAAAGUAAUGGAGAAUUCAGCUGAUUUUGUAGAGAGAGUUGAUGGCAAUGGGGGAGAGACUAGAAACGACACAACAGCUUCCUUUAGUUAUUCUUCUUCGACGAUAACAUCUGGCUAUCGAUUAUUUGGUCGGCAAUCCUCACUUCAUCAGUUUAUGGGUGGAGGGAAAGGUAUUCUAAAAUAAGAAAAAGGAAAAAGUUAGGGCUUUUUUUUUUUUUGCAUUUUUUUUAUAAUUUUUUAUGUCUUAAUCAAAGAUAAUAAGAAAGCUGCUUCCAGAAUUGUGCUUCUACUUUCAACUGGAAGUUUUUAAAUGGGUUCUCUUGCAUACAGGGAAAAGCGUCUCUUUUGGUUUUGUUUAACUCAUGCUGUUUGGUUCCAUUUACAUUUUGUAAUUGGUUUUUUUUUAGAAUGCAUAAUUAAUAACAAACUCUUAUGUGUUAAGAUAUCUGAAGUUUGAGCAAACUAGUAAUGAAAGAUUAACAUGCUCUUCUUUGUGAGAAUGAAAAAUGACAGCCACUUGAAUUAAAGAAAAUUAUAGAUAUGAUUUCUGGUUUAAAGUGGCAUUUGCUGAAUAAAUUGCUCUUCUACUUUAUUUGAUUUCUGUGGAGGUUAGUAUUGAAAUUGCAUAGUUGAGGUCUUUUUUUCUUCAAGAAUUUUUUUUUUUUUUUAUGCAUAUACUGUCAAUUACAAGUUUGUGUUUCAACUUCUAGACUAACUGUAAUAUUCUUUUUUGUUUCUUUUUUUCUUUCCUGUGAUUUCAUAAAGACCUAUCUUGUUUUCACCAUCACCAUUGUUCAUUUUAUUCUGCUUACUUUUCUAUUGGUUAAUAAGUGAUAAAUGCUGUUUAUAUUGCCACUGUUUUGCGGUUAAAUAUUGAGACAUACCUUAUGUAUGAUUUGGUUGUUGUUUCAAAAUCAAUAAUGAAAUACUCUAAUCCAGAAACUUGUUUUCUUCAAAACUUCAGAAUGUAGAAGUAACAUGAUAGGAGUGCAAGAUGAAUUUGUGUAGUGUACUUUAGUGGUUGUACUACUAUUUUUGCAAUACAGUUUUUAUUUUUAUUGGCCUUUGAUUUUUGAGUAUUUAGCUCCACCCUUAUGUACUUGUAUUUUAACUUAGUUCAUUCAUUCCUCUUCUCUACCAUGCCUCAUUGAUUGAAUUAAAUAUUUGUCACAGAUGCUAACUAGUUGGGGUAGAAGCAUUGUUGAGUGGAGUGUUGCUGGUUGAUCCUUGCUGUUUUGGAAAAAAAAAUCUCAUCAUCUAAAAAUUUAAUGCAAACUUAGGGAAAUUUGUUACUAUUUAUCUUGAUUAUGUUAGAACAUAUGAUAUUAUUUACAUAAUUACUACAUGUAUUGCAUAUUAGUGCACUUGAUAUUCUGCAUGUAUGGAUGUUUGACAAAUUUCUCUUUUAUGGUAGCUGCUGAUGUGCUUUUGUGGAAGCGGCAGCAUGUCUCUUUUGGUGUAAUUGUUGUUGCAACAGUUGCAUGGUUUAUAUUUGAGCGGUCCGGAUUACCAUUCUUAACUAUUUGUUCAGAUGUCUUGCUGGUUGUGAUUGUAUUGUUAUUCGUCCAUGCCAACUUUUCUGCUUUCAGAAAUAAGUAUGCCUGAUACCUAUUACAACUAUUCAUCUGUAAUCCCUUUUUGUUUCUGAAAUCAUUUCUGAUGACAACCACUGUUUAUUUUUUUAAGCAGACAACCACAAUCAUUACCAGAGCUAGUUUUGUCAGAGGAAAUGGUUAAUAAUGCUGCUGCAUCUUUUCGUGUUAAAAUCAAUAAUGUUCUUCUUAUGGCUCAUGACAUCACUAUUGGAAAAGAUUUUAGACUCUUUUUCAAGGUUAGUAUUGAUUAGCAUAAGAUGAUUAAAUAUCUAUAUGCCAUCUAUUGAAGGUUUUUGAGCUUAACAAGGCAUCAUGUAAGCGAUUUGGAUUUAGGUAUCAUAUUUAUAUACUUAAGUUUGCAUGGGGAUAUUUUAGUCUUAUUAAUUUUGUAAUAUCAGUGAUGUUGAAUUCAUUGGUAAAUUCCAUCAAUUUUAAAAGAAUUUGUUCCAGUGUGAAUUCCUUUUAUGUUAACAAACGAAUAGAAGAGGAAUUGCAAAUGAAUUCUUAAAAUUGUGGUCCAAACAUGAUAAGUUCAGAUGCGUGUGGGAUUCUUAUAUUUCUGAAGUUAUGGCAGUGGUGUUGGGUUUGCGAUAGGCUCUUCAAUUGUCAUUUCAUUCGCUUGUUGUUGAGUCUGAUUGCAAGUAUUUGAUUGACUUACUCUAUUCAGCUUCUCAUUUGCGUAAUGGUUUAGCUUUAUUUUGGAUGACUGCUUUGAUUAUCAGAGUCAAUUUCAACAGUGCAGUUGGUCUUUUGCCCCUCGAAAUUGUAAUGCACCAGCUCACUUUUUAGCUACGUUUUGUACUCGUGCAGUGGAUGAACUGAUUUGGAUAGAGGAAUUUCCUUCCUCUAUUUCAUAGCUGAUUCCUGCUGAUGUACCUUUUUCUUCUUGCUAAUAAUAUUUGCUUCGUUUAUUAUCAAAGAAACCUUCCCUCAAGAAUAAUAAAAAUGAAAGGACUCAACGAAUUUUGGGACUUCUUGGUUAUGGAGAAAUGUGAAUCAUCCUUAAAGCCUCAUUACCCUGAGUUACUAGCAGGAAUAUCUGAAGUGGAAUUUCCACUAUGGCCUAUGAAAAUUUUAUGGCGCACACUGCACAGGCAUGAGGUCAGCAUUUGAUAUAGUUGGUUUGUGAGUGAUCCAUGCUAAUCAGCGUAUUUUAGGUCCCAACCCACACCAUUCUGAAGGAUUUCUAUAUUAUUGGAAUAUGGUUCUCAGGAUCUAUGUCAAAAAAAGCUACAAUAUCUAUCUUUCUUGCAUUGUGUAGUGAACUGACUUAGGUCAAUUAUACAAAAGCAUUUUUUAUUUGACAGGUGGUGGUCUGUCUAUGGCUCCUGUCUGCCACUGGUAGCUACUUCUCUUUCUUCACCCUCGCCUAUGCAGGAACCAUCUUAUCCAUUACAAUUCCUGCCUUGUAUAGCAAAUUCGAGGAGCACGUUGAUAAAUACUGUGGGAUGAUCCAUAGAAAAUUAUCACAUCACUAUAAGAUAGUGGAUGAGAGUGUUACUAAUAGAAUUCCUCACAGUUUAUCCAAGGACAAAGAUGAGUAAGUGUGAAAUGCAUACGGAUGAUGGUUGAGUCUGCUUUGCAGUGAAGUUCUAAAAGUUGCCGCCAAGUCUGCCCAGCGUCAUGUUUGGCGAAAUCAUCUAUUUUUGGUCAUGUUAUUUACAGUGAUUUUCCCUCACUAAAGAUGUGCAUCUCUCCCUUAUCUCCAUUACAAUUUCAAUGAACUGAGCAAAGUGUUCAAUAAGCUUCUGCAAACGUGUGAAAUUCUGAAGUUUGGCUUGCUAGGUUUAUCUUCUAUUCAUUCUUAAGGUCUGUAUUUUAAAUUUUAGAGCUAGUUUGUUUUUCAUUCCUGGGGAUUAUUUCCUUGGGAAAGAUGACGAAUCAGAUGGGUUGUGCAUUGAUAAUAGGAUGAAUUGUACAUUGAUCUUCUUAGAUAAAAAAAGAGGAAAUGCCCUAUAAAGAACAGUGGCCAUGUACCACAUACAAGAUCGUGCUUAUUUACUUGAUUUCUGGUAUCGUGUAUGUUACAAACUAGAAGAUGGCAGGACUCGGCUGGAGUUCUUUUUCCUGUAGUUUAUUGUAGACUUGGUUCUGAUUUUUGAAUCUUUCAUUUCCACAUUCAGCAAAUUUUCAAUUAAAUGUUCAACAUCCUUUCUUGUCUUAUAUUUAUGGUGAUUUUAUUUUUCUUCCAAUGCCGCCAAAUGGUUGUGGACUUGAUCAAGAUUGAGCAAAACGUACUGAUGAUCCAGGCUAUGGACACGAAGAGAUUCCUGUGUUCCGCCUAUAUAUAGCACCAGCAGAUUGCAAUGAGCUCUUUUUAGCGUUCAUACACAAUGUCAUAUUUUUUCUUAAUGGUUUAAUUAAAUAAAAAUAUACCUUCCGACAUCAUUAACCUUUAACCAGUUGUCUUCUCUCCCGGACUUGCUGAGCAAAUCUAGCCGACUUCCCUUGCCUCCAAGCAGGGGCAGAUUUCGUUUUGGUUGAAUUGUUUUUGGUUGGUGUUUCUUGUGCAGGUCGACAGUUCAUGGAGAGGGCCUCCUUUAAAGAUCUGCUUAUGGUCUAAAUCUGCUCGAGGCCAAAAGAAGUCUCUCCUUGCUUUGGCUGUUUGCAUCUUCAGGAUUUGAUUCUACAAUACAACUGGAAAGGUCCAA